UACGUAGGGGGCUAGCGUUGUCCGGAAUCAUUGGGCGUAAAGAGCGUGUAGGCUGCUCGGUAAGUCCGCUGUAAAAGUCAAAGGCUCAACCUUUGAAUGUCAGUGGAUACUGCCGGGCUAGAGUCCGGAAGAGGCGAGUGGAAUUCCCGGUGUAGCGGUGAAAUGCGUAGAUAUUGGGAAGAACACCUGAGGCGAAGGCGGGUUGCUGGGCCGACACUGACGCUGAGGCGCGAAAGCCAGGGGAGCAAACGGG
rnacentral:rRNA from 1 species